UUGAGCGCUAGCGGGAUGCCUUACACAUGCAAGUCGAACGGCAGCACGGACUUCGGUCUGGUGGCGAGUGGCGAACGGGUGAGUAAUGUAUCGGAACGUGCCCAGUAGCGGGGGAUAACUACGCGAAAGCGUAGCUAAUACCGCAUACGCCCUAAGGGGGAAAGCAGGGGAUCGCAAGACCUUGCACUAUUGGAGCGGCCGAUAUCGGAUUAGCUAGUUGGUGAGGUAAUGGCUCACCAAGGCGACGAUCCGUAGCUGGUUUGAGAGGACGACCAGCCACACUGGGACUGAGACACGGCCCAGACUCCUACGGGAGGCAGCAGUGGGGAAUUUUGGACAAUGGGGGCAACCCUGAUCCAGCCAUCCCGCGUGUGCGAUGAAGGCCUUCGGGUUGUAAAGCACUUUUGGCAGGAAAGAAACGGCGCGUGUUAAUACCAUGCGCAACUGACGGUACCUGCAGAAUAAGCACCGGCUAACUACGU
rnacentral:rRNA from 1 species